AUUCUUUGUUCGCUGAAUCCGUAAGGAGCGGGGGAACCAACACUGUGAUGACCAGUAUCACUUGGGGUGAAUCCUUUAACGUAGGGACGGGCUACUCUCAUGGUCCGAAUCCGACAGCUAACCUCGUAAGCGUUAGGAGAGAGGACGU
rnacentral:sRNA from 2 species